GGGACAACCAGGAAAAAGGUCCCAUGGCAUUGUCUGAAGCGGCCUCCAGCAGACAGACACAGACGAGGUCUAAUGUGGCCUUGUAGGGAUACAUAUAAGGUAACGCACCCAAAGAAAAUUACCUGAUGCGGCCUGCAGAGUGCUGGGCUGGAGGAUGGAUCCCAAGGUGUUGAUGACUGACCCUGGAGACACGGCCUCCACAUGCUGGGCAGCUGGAGAAGCAGCAAAAUGCUAUGCAUUGCCAGGAGAAGCACGGGCCAAGGCAGAGGCGGUCACACCGCUGUGAGAGAAAUCCCUGGUUGCACUCGCAUCUCGGGUGCUGCGUGGAGGUCCAGCCACUGCACCUCCCCAUGGAUGUAGGGGCGUUAGGGACGGGCCGGAGAAGGGCAGCUGAUACAACAGAGGGAACGGUGCCGCUGCUGUGCGAGGAGAGGCUGAAAAGGCUGGGACGUGGGUCUGGGAAGGGAUCAGAAGGGCAGGACGGAGGUUGGGAGAGGUGCAAGAGGAGCCGCACGGGGAACAUUUCACCAAACCCCUCAGCAGAGGGAAAAGCGGCACUUGUGAAAAUCAGCCUGUGCCGUUCCCAACAGCUACAGACAGGAACUUGUUCCACGGCGGGGGGGGAACUUCGGGACCCUGUCGCCACAAGGGGCUGGCUGUGGGGACCGUGUCCGUGUGGACGGGAGCGGGGACACCCGCGGCCGACAAGGUCCCCAAACAGGUUCCGAAGGGAGGUGGCCGCCGCCAGCCCAGUUAAUACCUCCUUGGGGCGGGGCGGGCCCGGAGCUGCUCACCACCCCCGGGAGGACCCCGGCAGGGCCCAGCCGAGCCCGGGACGGAGGGGACGGACCCCCGCGGCAAGACCCCCGCUAUCCCCGCGUCGGUGGCCCCGCGGCCCGGCCCGGCUCGGCUCUCCGCUCCCCGCACCGGAGGAGCGGAGCCAGGCCGGGCCAUGGCGGAGCGGAGCAGCUCCCGCCCCCCGCGGCCGGGACGCAGCGGGAGCGCCGUGCCCGGAGCAGGGCGGCGGGGGCCGCCGGGAAGCCGUCCCGCCGCGCCGGGGCUGCUGGAGUGCCGUCGGUGCCGGUACCUGUGCACGUCCAGGGGUGAGCGGGGCCGCCGCCGUCGUGGCUGCGGGAGAUCCCCCUUCCUUUGUCCCGCCGGGGCUCGGCGGCCCCUCCGCUCCCUCCCACCUCCGCCCUUCCCCUUGCAGCCUGCUGCCAGAUGGUGGAAGCCCUGCUGGCCCUGCUCAUCCUGGUCUGCAGCUCCGUGUCCUAUGGCUCGACGGGGGGGUACACGGGCCUGGCCAGCCUGGGGGGCAUCUACUACUACCACUACGGCGGGGCUUACAGCGGCUUCAGCGGAGCAGACGGGGAAAAAGCCCAGCAGCUCGACCAGCGUUUCUACCUGCUAAAGCUGCCGGUCGCAAGGGCGGCGAUGGCCGUGGGGGGGUCCCUCCUGGCCCUCUCCUGCCUUCUCAUCCUGGUUGGUGCGCUGCGGUUACCGUGGCGUUUCCCAGCGUGGCUGCUACUGGAGUGCAUCCUGGACGUAGCGAUUGCAAUUGGGAUGGUGCCUGCUGUCUACUACUUCUUCCAUUUUCUGCUGGGGGUUUAUAA
rnacentral:lncRNA from 1 species